UUUGGGAUCAAAGGAAGCACGCGGCACACAGCAGGCCGCCCUCAGCGCGCAGGCCUGAAGCCGGCACCAGCGGGGGGUGACCCGCUGAGGGAACCGGGCAGGUGGUUCCUUGGGCCCCGUGCGCGGUGCCAGUUAACUUCCCAGGGACGGGCCCUGAAGGACCGGACUUGUCGCAGAGCGAGCGACAAGACCGCAGGUGGGGAGCUGGCUGCCGCAGAGCGCGGCUGGGGGCGAGGCGGUGCCUCCUAGCGGGUCCCGGGCACGGUUUGCCUGACUUCAGCAGAAACGCGCGGCAGAUAACCCGGAGCCGCGCGAGCACCUGCAAUGGAAGAAUCCGGAAUCAUAAGUAAUGGGCCUAAAUUGGCAGGCUUUCAUGAAAGUCCCACCAAUCUCCAAGUAUACAGCUGCCAUGGGUCACGUAAAAUGGCUCACCUCGGCUGUUGGGGCGCAAAGGCAGCCGCGGACGGCGGCGUCAACGGUACUGCUGUGAUCUGAUAGAACUCGACCUGCUGACGCUGGCCUUGGAGUUCCACAUCAUUUUCACAUCUUAUGAAACAUUCUCCUUUUAGCUUUUCUCUAACAUGUAAAAAUGUAAAGGCCAUUCUCGGCUCAUCGGCAGAGCAAAAACAGUUGGUUUUCAGACCCCUGAAAUGAUAUGAGGAUUCUCUGCAGCCAUCAUGUACCCAUUUUCAGCAAAAACCAACUCCCGGUCAAUCUUGUUUUUUGUCUCCUCCUGUUCCUUUUUCCUCCCGGCAGCAGUGUUGGAAGCCAAGCUCUAAUGAACAAAUGAUUUCAUCCAUAUCUGCAUUUCAGUAUUUGCCUCUAAAAGAGUUCUCUGGUUUUAAACAUAAACCCACAAUGUCAUUAUCACAUCUGAAAAUAUUGACAAUAACUCCUUAAUAUCAUAAAAUUUCCAAUUAGUAUUCGUUUUUUUUCCAACUGUCUCAUAAAUGUGUACGAUUAUAGAUUUUGUGUUUUCUUCCCUAUAGCUUGUUUGGCUAGGAUCUAGAUGACACCCUUAAAUGGCAAUUGCUUGAUCUGUCCCCUAAGCCUCCUCAUCUACGAGUUCUUUCUAUCUCUGUCUUGUUUUUCUUUACAAGUGAUUUGUUGAAGAAAUUGUGUUCUGUUCUGCAGGGUUUCCUAUAGUCUGUAUUUCUGAUUACACCCUUGUGUCGUUGUUGGAUAUAUUCCUUUGUUCUCCGAAUUUCCUAUAAUACAGUGCUAUUUUCUGCUAUUUGGAAGUUAGAGGUAAGAGCUUGAUGAGAUUCAAGUUUUCUUUUGUUUUUGGUUCAUUUUUGGGGGGUAAGAUUACUCUAUGGGUGGUACUGUGUUCUUCUGUCAGGGGGUACAUAACGUGUGGUUGUUUCUCUUUUUGUGUGUUGGCAGCUAUUGAUGAUUAUUGCCUAGAUCGAUCCCAUUUUUUUUUUAAAAAGACUUUUUUAAAGUAGUUUUAGAUUUACAGAAUAAUUGAGCAAUUAGUACAGAGAGUUCCCGUAUGCACCCUCCUCCUCAGUUUCCCUAUCAUGAACAUCUUGCUUUAGUGUGGUAUGUUUGUUACAAGUGAUGAACCAAUACCAGUAUUUUCUUGUUUUGUCCACAAUUUACAUUAAGACGCAUUCUUUGUACAAUGCUAUGGUUUUGACAAAUGGCAUAAUGACAUGGACCCACCAUUGCAGGAUCAUGCAGAACAGUUUCACUGCCUUAAAAAUCCUCUGUGCUCCACCUCUCUAUCCACCUCUGCACCUCUAAACCCCCGGUGACCAAUGAUCUUUAUACUGUCUCCAUAGUUUGGUCUUUUCCAUAAGGUCACUUAGCUGGAAUCAUAUAGCGUAUAGACUUUUCAGAUUGACUUCUUUCACUUAGCAACAUGUUAUGUUUUUCCCAUGUCUCUCUGUGGUUUGAUAGCUCCUUUUUAUUGCUGAAUAAUAUCCUGUUGUAUGGAUGUACCACAGUUUGUUUACUCAUUUAACUUAUACUGAAGGUUCCAGUUUGGGGCAAGUAUGAAUGAAAUUGCUAUCAAUAUUUGUGUGCAGGCUUUUGUGUGGACAUAAGUUUUCAACUCAAUUGGGCAAAUACCAAGAAGCAGGAUUUUCUGGAUCAUGUGGUAUGAAUCUGCUUCCCUUCUAAGAAACUGCCAAGCUGUCUUCCCAGUGGUCGUGCCAUUUUUGCAUUCCCACUGGCUAUGAAUGAGGAUACCUGAUGUCCCAUUGGCUGGCUAGCUUUUGAUCUUGUCAGUUUUUUGGAUUUGGGCCAUCCUAAUAGAUGUGUAAUGAAAUCUCACUGUUGUUUUAGUUUGUGAUUCUCUAAUGAUGUGAUGUGGAGCAUCUUUUCAUAUCUUUUGUUAUCUGUCUCUUCUUUGGUGAGGUGUCUGUUCAGAUCUUUUGCCCAUUUUUAAAGCAGGUUGUUUGUUUUCUUAUUGUUGAGUUUUAAGAGUUC